AUGCCUUGCCUGGGGGCCAGAGCAAAAGCGUUUACAUUGCAGCCCCUGUCAGAUUCUUAUGAAUCUGCAAAUUCUGCU
rnacentral:ribozyme from 1 species